rnacentral:rRNA from 1 species
GCAUGCGGCAGCUACACAUGCAGUCGAGCGGUAGCACAGAGAGCUUGCUCUCGGGUGACGAGCGGCGGACGGGUGAGUAAUGUCUGGGAAACUGCCUGAUGGAGGGGGAUAACUACUGGAAACGGUAGCUAAUACCGCAUAAUGUCGCAAGACCAAAGAGGGGGACCUUCGGGCCUCUUGCCAUCAGAUGUGCCCAGAUGGGAUUAGCUAGUAGGUGGGGUAACGGCUCACCUAGGCGACGAUCCCUAGCUGGUCUGAGAGGAUGACCAGCCACACUGGAACUGAGACACGGUCCAGACUCCUACGGGAGGCAGCAGUGGGGAAUAUUGCACAAUGGGCGCAAGCCUGAUGCAGCCAUGCCGCGUGUAUGAAGAAGGCCUUCGGGUUGUAAAGUACUUUCAGCGGGGAGGAAGGUGCUGAGGUUAAUAACCUCAGCAAUUGACGUUACCCGCAGAAGAAGCACCGGCUAACUCCGUGCCAGCAGCCGCGGUAAUACGGAGGGUGCAAGCGUUAAUCGGAAUUACUGGGCGUAAAGCGCACGCAGGCGGUCUGUCAAGUCGGAUGUGAAAUCCCCGGGCUCAACCUGGGAACUGCAUUCGAAACUGGCAGGCUAGAGUCUUGUAGAGGGGGGUAGAAUUCCAGGUGUAGCGGUGAAAUGCGUAGAGAUCUGGAGGAAUACCGGUGGCGAAGGCGGCCCCCUGGACAAAGACUGACGCUCAGGUGCGAAAGCGUGGGGGAGCAAACAGGAUUAGAUACCCUGGUAGUCCACGCCGUAAACGAUGUCGACUUGGAGGUUGUGCCCUUGAGGAGUGGCUUCCGGAGCUAACGCGUUAAGUCGACCGCCUGGGGAGUACGGCCGCAAGGUUAAAACUCAAAUGAAUUGACGGGGGCCCGCACAAGCGGUGGAGCAUGUGGUUUAAUUCGAUGCAACGCGAAGAACCUUACCUACUCUUGACAUCCAGAGAACUUUCCAGAGAUGGAUUGGUGCCUUCGGGAACUCUGAGACAGGUGCUGCAUGGCUGUCGUCAGCUCGUGUUGUGAAAUGUUGGGUUAAGUCCCGCAACGAGCGCAACCCUUAUCCUUUGUUGCCAGCGGUCCGGCCGGGAACUCAAAGGAGACUGCCAGUGAUAAACUGGAGGAAGGUGGGGAUGACGUCAAGUCAUCAUGGCCCUUACGAGUAGGGCUACACACGUGCUACAAUGGCGCAUACAAAGAGAAGCGACCUCGCGAGAGCAAGCGGACCUCAUAAAGUGCGUCGUAGUCCGGAUUGGAGUCUGCAACUCGACUCCAUGAAGUCGGAAUCGCUAGUAAUCGUAGAUCAGAAUGCUACGGUGAAUACGUUCCCGGGCCUUGUACACACCGCCCGUCACACCAUGGGAGUGGGUUGCAAAAGAAGUAGGUAGCUUAACCUUCGGGAGGGCGCUACCACUUGGAUGCCGGGC